AAACAAUAACAAGAAUUAAACUGUCAAUUGUUCUUGAACAAUUGAGAGGUCUUUCCUUUUUCAAUGUAAAAUACAUGUUCCAACAGACGUAGAAUGUAUUGAAAAGGUCAAGGUCAACCUUAAAAAGCUCGAAAACACACUAAAAAUCCUUUAAAUAGGUUAAAAACACUAAAUUCGCUAUCUGGGACAUGACCUUGACCUUUGACCUUUUGACCUUUGUCAAGGUCAUCGGUCCCCAAUGCCAUUACUGAAGACCCCAAGGGUCUAGGACCUUUGGUUAUAUAGUAAAAGCUGAUUUUGUCUUUUCAAAAACCUAAAACAGGGGUUAUGCCCCUUAUAGAAAGGUCAAAUCUCUUUGAUCAAAAUGUAACAAAGUUGCGCCAUAAUGACCCAAACAUUUUCCACCAUUUAAAACUUCUGUAAGUAUAAUGGUUUCUGAGAUUAUCCCAUAACAAGCUGUUAGGUCAGAGGUCAAGGUCAACAUACAAAUUUGACCUUGAGAUAUUUUUUAAAGAUACAUGAAAUGAUGAUGAUUGGUGAAGAUCCUAUGUGUCUACGACUUACGGUUUCUGAGUUUUGGUGGCCAACCGACACCGGUUAAUUUUCAUAGGGGCAUAACCCUACCAAUGAGUCGUUGAAUCUUUUCGAUCCAAAUGUAACGAAGAACCGGGGUCUGGUCCUGAACAAAUUUCACCCUUCAUUUUUUUUCUACCUAUUACGGUUACGGUGUUGGAACGAUAACAAGGUUUUUGGGUUUCGGAGGGAUUACUCCGAACCGACAAAAUAUUUCGACUCACAGGGUGAGUUCCGGAUAGGUAUUCAUGACACCAAUACAAAGUGUGAACAUGAAAGCGACAUGGUUUACGGUUACGGAGGGAAAUUUUGUCAAAGUUUGGCGGAACAAGAAGAAUAAUAAUAAUCAGAAGAAAUACAGUAAGGU
rnacentral:lncRNA from 1 species